AUGGAGGGCGGCGCCGACGCCUUCGGGUCCUCGACCGCGCCGCUGGCCUGGCACGACUUCCUCGAGCGCAUGCGCCAGCCUUCCGCCGCCGACUUUAUCAUGACGUUCUCAAACAGAGAACCUGAUCCAGAGAGAGAUAGUGCAGCUGUUCAAGAGUUCCUUGAAAAUAUGGAAGGUGCUUUCAGAGCUCACACUCCUUGGGCUGGCAGUUCUGAAGAAGAACUAGAGAGUGCCGGUGAGGGCCUCGAGAAGUAUGUUAUGACAAAGCUGUAUAAUCGGGUAUUUGCUUCAGUCCCGGAAGAUGUGAAGAGCGACGAAGAGCUUUUUGAGAAGAUUUCUCUACUACAGCAGUUUAUACAUCCUGAAAACUUGGAUAUAAAACCAGAAUAUCAGAAUGAAACAUCAUGGCUGCUUGCGCAAAAGGAGCUACAGAAGAUAAACAUGUAUAAGGCUCCAAGGGAUAAGCUUGCUUGCAUCCUGAACUGUUGUAAAGUCAUCAAUAACUUACUUAUGAAUGCUUCUCAUAUGUCACAUGAUAACCCCCCUGGAGCUGACGAAUUUCUUCCAGUCCUCAUCUAUGUCACCAUAAAGGCUAAUCCUCCGCAGUUACACUCAAAUCUUUUAUACAUACAAAGAUACAGGUGCCAAUCACGACUGGUGUCAGAGGCUCAAUAUUUUUUUACAAACCUCCUAUCUGCCGAGUCUUUCAUUUGGAACAUUGAGGCGGAAUCAUUAUCCAUGGAUGAACGAGAUUUCCAAAAGAAGAUGGAUUUGGCAAGGGAACGCUUGUUAGGAUUAUCAGUUAGCUCAGAGAACCAGGAGAAUCAGACCAAUCUUGAUGUGGGGGAGCAUAGAUCACAAGCACUAAAAGCUAGUGGAAAUUCCGAUGUCAACCUACACUUGAAAGAUCAUGUCCAAGGUCCAGUUCAGGACAUGAAAAGGGAAAGUGAUGUGAGCAGUAAAUCAGUUGAGCGGGUGCAAUCUAUCUCUGAUUUAGAGAAGAAGGGAGCUACAGAGCUUGUCAAGGAUGACGACUUGAGCAAAAUAUUCCAGGAAUACCCAUUUCUAUUUGCCCGUGCUGGUGAUCUGACAGUUGCUGAUGUAGAUAACCUUUUAAACUCUUACAAGCAACUAGUACUUAAGUACGUCGCACUCUCUAAGGGCAUGGGUGUCGCCCCUGAAACGCCUCUUGUUCAGAGCAAGCAAACCGCACCAGAUCUUCAGAUAUCCGAGGAGCCUGAGAAUGUGAAGAAUGUUGUAAAUAGUUGCGACAGCACUGAAGAAAGCAGCAAGACUCAUGAGGACAUUAAAAAUGAAAUUCCUGACUCAGAAGUCAGGAACAUUAGUACGCAACAAGUUGCUGUUGAUCCAAGUGGUGAUCAGAAGACACUAAAAGAUGAAUCAUCAGAUCAGCCAGAGCAUGCGUGA
rnacentral:rRNA from 1 species